CAGUCGCCGCGGUAAUACGAAGGGUGCAAGCGUUAAUCGGAAUUACUGGGCGUAAAGCGUGCGUAGGCGGUGAGUUAAGUCUGCUGUGAAAUCCCCGGGCUCAACCUGGGAAUGGCAGUGGAUACUGGCUCGCUAGAGUGUGUCAGAGGAUGGUGGAAUUCCCGGUGUAGCGGUGAAAUGUGUAGAGAUCGGGAGGAACAUCAGUGGCGAAGGCGGCCAUCUGGGACAACACUGACGCUGAGGCACGAAAGCGUGGGGAGCAAACAGGAUUAGAUACCCGCGUAGUCCCUGUCUCUUAUAA
rnacentral:rRNA from 1 species